AGAGAGUCCCUGGAAGCCAAAGUGGAAGCAUUUGGCGAUUUCAGUCCCGAGGUGGCAGAGACAUACCGGCUCCUGGGAGGAGCAGACCUGGCGCAGGGGAACCACAGUGGGGCCCACAAGAAACUGAAGAAGCUUGAAAGACCUCAAAGACCUCAGGGAAAGACUGACAGGCCUGGCUUGAAUCCAGGGCCCACCCCUGGCUCAGUCAGCCAAGGCCAGGAGAGUGGUGAAAGGCUGCAGAAAGAAUUCCUGAAGGCUGCUUCAUAGAUCAGGAACAUCUCAGGAGUGUGCUGAGUCCAAGAACAGUGUGAAGUCGGGUUUGGGUCCAGUCGUCAUCUGGCCUCCCGUGUUAGGUACUGUCUUCAGCAGGGUUCAAUCCACUGCCUCACUACUUUAGCUGUGGACAUUAAACAUUUCCACA
rnacentral:sRNA from 1 species